CUCAUGUCCAUUGAGUCAGUGAUGCCAUCCAACCGUCUCAUCCUCAAUUAUUUGCUGCUCAGCUUUCUUUAUAGUCCAGCUCUCAUAUCCAUACAAGACCACUGGAAAAACCAUAGCCUUGACUAGACGGACCUUUGUUGGAGUAGUUUGUGUGAAUCAUAAAUAAGAAACUUCUUGCGAGUAUCAAAGAGAAGACAAAAAAAAUGGAUUGUCAGUGGACAAUGGCUUAUUUAAUUAAAGAAAUUAAAUACCAAGAAAUAUCGUACUAUGAAGAAAUGUGUAUGGUCUUGGCAAGAUUCUGUGGCCUCUCUGGGUUCCAGUUUUCUCCUUUCCAAAGUGAGAAAUUAAAUGAUCUCUGAGGACCCUGCCAGAGCACUAAUAUUCUCCAGUUCUUUCUGUUUUAUAAAGUGUCUACCAGAUCACCAGCAAGGGUAGGAAAUCACUG
ensembl:lncRNA